rnacentral:rRNA from 1 species
CCUACGGGUGGCAGCAGUCGAGAAUCAUUCACAAUGGGGGAAACCCUGAUGGUGCGACGCCGCGUGGGGGAAUGCAGGUCUUCGGAUUGUAAACCCCUGUUAUGUGGGAGCAAAUUAAAAAGAUAGUACCACAAGAGGAAGAGACGGCUAACUCUGUGCAAGCAGCCGCGGUAAUACAGAGGCCUCAAGCGUUGUGCGGAAUCACUGGGCUGAAAGGGAGCGUAGGCUGUGUCGUGAGUCGUGUGUGAAAGGCGCGGGCUCAACACGCGGAGGGUACAUGAGACUGCGAGACUAGAGUAAUGGAGGGGGAGCCGGAAUUCUCGGUGUAGCAGUGAAAUGCGUAGAUAUCGAGAGGAACACUCGUGGCGAAGGCGGGUUCCUGGACAUUAACUGACGCUGAGGCACGAAGGCCAGGGGAGCGAAAGGGAUUAGAUACCCUAGUAGUC